GCUCGGCUCCGCCCCCCCGACCGCCCGGGCGCCUCCACCGGCGCCGGCGGGUUUCCACGCUCGCGAGCGGGGAAUUUUCCUCCGGAAGAAGCGGGGACUCCUCGGGCGCAGCCUGUGUCCCGCUUUCCCUGCGUCUCCCAGCCGGAGGGCUCCCGAAUUCCCAAACCUGCCGCCGCCUCGCUUCUUCCUAGUGGCCCUAAACUGGGCGCCGGCUCUUCCGCUUGCAGUCACCACGUGCUUCUCUCGCCGGGCGUCCCCUUCCCAAGACCUUGGACCGCAUUGCGGAUUCCGUUUUCCCGACCGGUGGCCCAGUUCUACCAAAAAAAACUUUUAACUGGGUGUGCGAGUUCAGACCUAGAGCCCCAGAGUCAGCGGGUCAGGGUGCAGAUCCGGCGGGGGACACCUAACUGCCGUGUGACCUUGUGCGAAUCAGACUCACUGAGCCUCUGUUUUCGUCUCAGUAAAGUGAGGAUAUUAACAGGAUCGUUGUGAGGAUUAGACAUGGUAGCUGUGUGUGCAUACGUCUAUGUACCUAGGACAUUGCAUAAUCAGUAAAUGGGAACUGUUGCUGUUACUGAUCUUUAUUUUUGCCUCCACAAAUCCCUGUAUGGAACUGGGCGAGGGAUCUUCCCCUACUCACAUACAUCAGUGUGGGUGGGCCUCAUCCAAUCAUUUGAAGGCCUGAGUAGAGCAAAAGGCUGACCUCCCCGGAGCAAGAAGGAAUUCGGCCCGCCGACCGCCUUUGGGUUGGAGCUGUCCCUCCGCCCUGAGUGUCCCGCCUGCUGGCCUCUCCCAUCAGAUUUUGGACUCGUCAAGCCUCCACAAUCCCUCUAAUGAUCUAGAUGGCACCGUAUAACCAGCAUCAUUUAACUGAAGUCUGCUAACAGAGCUACUUCUUUAAAGCUAUCGCUACGCUCUUCCUCGUGUACGGGCCCCUCGGAAUCAAAACGAGCAAAUGGAUCUUGAGGAAAAGCCAUUUGAUCUAAACAACUCAUUCACAGGGCAGUAUGUAAAUGCCUUCUGUGCAGCCGCACCCCAUUAAAUCAUCUUCUUUGGGCACCGUCUUCUCAAAAUACCUACAGACCUUCGAGGGAGAUGCUGAUGCCGUCUCUGUGGAUUUAUGUCGUCGGGUUUUCGUGCACGUGGAUGCAGUUCCACGUCUGGAAAUUUAGCUUAAGAAACGGCCUGCAUAAGAACAUGAAGACAUACGUGAGACCAGACAGAACAAUUCCAGUUCUUCCACACACUGCCAUGGAUCGGAGCUGCUAAACAGAAUGCGAGAAAUCUGGUUGUUCUGACACUUUGUAGUGUUGUUCAGGUGAAAACGACAGGUGCAGAACUGCAUGCCUAGCAUGAUCCUAUUUAUGCUAAAAACUAUAGAAGUUAUAUAUGUACACAUGCACUUUAGAAGGACGCAUGUCAGAUACUGGGGAGCAGGCUUGGGGAGAACGGGGGGAGUUUCGCAUUUUGCCCUACAGAUCUUUGUAUGUUUUAAUUGUGUACGAUGACCACAGAGUACUUUUUUAAAAUCGAGGUUUUAGUUACAUAAAACUCACCCUUUCAAAGUGUAUAGUUCAUGGUUUUUAGUAUAUUCACAAAGUUGUGCAACCAUCAUUACUACCUAAUUCCAGCCAUUUGCAUCACCCCAAAAAGAAAUCCUGUACCUGCUAAGAGUCGCUCCCUGGGGCCCCCCCCCUCUCUGCAGCCCCUGGCACCCACUAAUCUGCAUUCUGGCUCUAUGGAUUUGCUGCUUCUGGACAUUUCACAUAAAGGGCAUCAUGCAGGGGCGCCCGGGUGGCUCAGUCGGUUAAGCGUCUGCCUUCAGAAGCUCAGGUCCUGGUCCUGGGGUCCUGGGAUCGAGCCCCACUUCUCGGGCACCCUGCUCGGUGGGGAGUCUGCUUCUCCUUCUCCCUCUGCCCUUACCCCCAUCUCGUGCACUCGCUUCUCAUGUUCUCUCUCUCAUAAAUAAAUCAAUUAAAUCUUUAAAAAAAAAAAAGGGCACCAUACAAGAUGUGAUCCUUGGUGCCUGGCUUCUUAGCAUUAAGUUUCCAAGCAGGGAUCGGUACUCCAGUUCUUUACACGGCCAUGUAUAACUUCAAUAAAUAAAGAUCAAUCUGGGGCGCCUGGGUGGCUUAGUCGUUAAGCGUCUGCCUUCGGCUCAGGUCAUGAUCCCAGGGUCCUGGGGCUUCAGGUCAUGAUCCCAGAGUCCUGGGAUCGAGCCCCACAUCGGGCUCCCUGCUCAGCGGGGAGCCUGCUUCUCCCUCUCCCCCUCCCCCUGCUUGUGUUCCCUCUCUUGCUGUGUCUCUCUCUGUCAAAUAAAUAAAUAAAAUCUUUAAGACAAAUAAAUCUGUAAAUAGCUCUGAUUUAAAAAAAAACACUCAGAAAAAGAAAAACCUCACCCUUUUGUACAAAUCACUUUGUAGAAACUCAGCAGCUCUAAAUCCAAUGUCCAUAUUAAAGCACAGUUUAUUUCUAUCUUCCUGCUCCUAACACUUUAAUAUACUCUCUCUCAGGUCCCAUUUCAAAGGUCUGCCCCUUCAAACAGUAUUUUUGUUUCCACGUACGUCUGUUUUUGAGAUCAUUAUCAUUCACCUAGCAGACCUAGUUAGUUCUUUGCCCAGCUUCAUCUUCCCUAUCUCCCUGGCACUGCCCCAC